rnacentral:rRNA from 1 species
GAUGAACGCUGGCGGCGUGCUUAACACAUGCAAGUCGAACGAAGCAUUUGCGACAGAUUUUUUCGGAAUGAAGUUGCUUAUGACUGAGUGGCGGACGGGUGAGUAACGCGUGGGUAACCUGCCUUGUACUGGGGGAUAGCAGCUGGAAACGGCUGGUAAUACCGCAUAAGCGCACAAUGUUGCAUGACAUGGUGUGAAAAACUCCGGUGGUAUAAGAUGGACCCGCGUCUGAUUAGCUAGUUGGUGAGAUAACAGCCCACCAAGGCGACGAUCAGUAGCCGACCUGAGAGGGUGACCGGUCAUAUUGGGACUGAGACACGGCCCAGACUCCUACGGGAGGCAGCAGUGGGGAAUAUUGCACAAUGGAGGAAACUCUGAUGCAGCGACGCCGCGUGAGUGAAGAAGUAAUUCGUUAUGUAAAGCUCUAUCAGCAGGGAAGAUAGUGACGGUACCUGACUAAGAAGCUCCGGCUAAAUACGUG